ensembl:rRNA 5S_rRNA 5S ribosomal RNA
UCUGCCUGUGUGCUCUUGAUCUUAUCUGCACUCAGACACUAAGCAGUCCUAGGGCUGGCUAGUACUUGGAGUGUAGACACCUGAGAUCCUAGGU